rnacentral:rRNA from 1 species
AGAACGAACGCUGGCGGCGCGCCUAAUACAUGCAAGUCGAGCGAGAAGACGUAGCAAUACGUUUGUAAAGCGGCGAACGGGUGAGGAAUACAUGGGUAACCUACCCUCGAGUGGGGAAUAACUAGCCGAAAGGUUAGCUAAUACCGCGUACGCUCCUUGGACUUCGGUUCAGGGAGGAAAGCGAUACCCGUGGGUAUCGCGCUCUUGGAUGGGGCUCAUGUCCUAUCAGCUUGUUGGUGAGGUAACGGCUCACCAAGGCUUCGACGGGUAGCUGGUCUGAGAGGACGAUCAGCCACACUGGCACUGCGACACGGGCCAGACUCCUACGGGAGGCAGCAGUAAGGAAUAUUGCGCAAUGGGC